UAAGCUGUAUAAUAAAGACGUCGGCCACCGUUACAUUCAAAUGGAUCGUUGAUAUCGUGACAAAGUCCAUUUUGGCCAACGAAUACUCUUUGACGACCACAAAGACGUGGACUGCAACGUGCCUGAAAUGAACCGUUUUAAAGAUCUAAAGUAACCCAUUGGUGAGGAUCGGCGCAAGGACCUCUCCUCAAAACAGGAUAGCAGUUUCCGUCACUGAAUCUCACUGAAUUGUCUCCGCAACCAUCAUCUGGGAAAUCGUUCCCAUUUACAGGAAAUUCAAGACUGAUCCACUUCGGAUAACUGGAGGCCUACUGGAACUGCAACAGCGACAGCGACAGCCACUGCUGCGGCAGCUGCUACAACAGCUCCCACAGCUCCAACAGCUCCGACCGUUGCGAGACAUCCAGCAUUUAAUGUGGCACAGCCAUCGCUGCGAACGCUUAAACUUGUGGACAAAGAUGCACCUUGGUGGCGUCCUCCGUUACAUCCACAUUCAACGGUGAAAAUUGUGCUGUGUGUACAUGUUCGUCCACAUCGUACCUCGAGGGACGUGCAAGUGGUCGAACAAGUUGGUGACGGUUUGCAUGUGCAGGUAAAGCUACUUGCUUGUCUGUUUUCUUGCGCAAUUUUUCCGAAACGUAAAAAAUAGGGUAUCCGGAGAGCUUUGGUGGGAACGAUCGAACCUUCUAUGGUAGGACUUGUUAACACUAAAUUGUUUGUUUUCUUUUGUUUUGUCACUGCGUCUAAAGCCGUCAGUUCAUUGUCCCCAGCAGUAUGUUUUUUUGAAUUUGUUCCGUCUAACACUUGUAGCCACGAUUUGUAUCUAGUCUUGAAGAAAGAUUGAAACCCGUCGGCUAACUGAUGGUUUGCGCCAUUCGUCUGAUGUUCACUUCCAGAUAGAUGUGGGAUUAAAAACACCAAAGAAAACAGCAGUCCUUCACUUCGAACCAUCUCGUACCGCUUCACAAUGUUGAAAGGAAACUCGUCAGUCUGUCAGGCCGUUGCCAUCAAUGCGCCCAGUGGGUGUGGAGCAAACACUAUCCGAGGCUCGAUGGCUCCCUCGUUCAAAUGUUUGCUUACCUAUAGUUUCGAGAAGAAUGGAACUGAUUGGUUCAAUGUCGCGCCCUUUCACCAUGGUGUUCCGAACUAAUUGACUUGUUCACAGCGUUGCUGACAGCUAGAGUGCAGAUGACUUGUCAUUUUCCCACACUAAAUCUACCAAUAUUUACCGAAAAUGAGAAAGAUGGAAUUUCAUUUGAGUAAGUUGUGUAAGAUCUAAGUGUAAGCUGAAAUUUUACACAUUGGGGCAUUGUUCGGCGUUGGAACUAUUGUAAAGCCUUCAAGUAUGUUUAUUUAUUGUCUAUUGUGGUCUUUUACCUUUGCUACAUCUCAUCCCGCUUUUAUGUUAAUAGGAUUUACGUGUCGAAGUUGGCCAUUGUUAUUCUGUUGACCCAUAAAGCCUCUUGAGUAAAUGAAUCGCCCAAUGUUAUACGUUCCGCGAUCGUGCCCUUUAGCUAGUUUCCCCUUUUUGGUAGUAGCGUUACAACAAUGGUGACCAAAAAGGGCUUUUGAAAGUUAUCAGUUUCCAAUGUUUAAUGCCAAAUAAUCACUUUUCACAUAGCUUCUUAGGCGGAAAGCCAUGCCAGUGGAAGGCAGCACUUGCGAGUAUUAACCUUUGCAAACCAACAAUGUUGUAUGCUUUUUUGUCUUUUCUUGGAAACACCGAAUCCGAAUUAAAAUUCUUCACUUCAUUACCUUACAUGGGAUGUGAAACAGGGUU
rnacentral:lncRNA from 1 species